CAAAGGUGCAUUGUAGUCGCAUUGUCUGUGAUAUAAAAAAUCGGACAAUACUUCUGCAAUGCAAACUUUG
rnacentral:pre_miRNA from 2 species